rnacentral:lncRNA from 1 species
UGGAGGUAGUGGUAUCUCGUGAAGAGGCUGGGAAGGUGCGAAGCUCACGGUUUGCGAGGCUUGCUGAGUUUGAGGGUGGAAUUGUGGUGAAUGUUGCCACAUCAUGGCGGAUUGAAAAUUUGCAAGGUUGGGGUUUAGGAAGUAUGGUUGUUGUGGCCAACAGGUAGUAUGGUGGAUGGUUUUGGGUGACGCAGCUACUUUUUUCUCUUCGGCUAUUCUCUAAGAGGUCUUUUUGGUUUAUGUGCAAAAAUCAAUUGCGUGGUCAAGCUGCUUGCCAUGGAAGGUACAGUAGAACAUUCGAGGCUGGUUAUUCUGGUUAACCGCCUUGGAGGCCCUCUGCCUCUGCCUCUUCCUCUUCC